ACUUGAUAGCGACGGGGCCGACCUCCUCACCAAGCUGUUGCAGUUUGAGGGUCGAAAUCGGAUCUCCGCAGAGGAUGCCAUGAAACAUCCAUUCUUCCUCAGUCUGGGGGAGCGGAUCCACAAACUUCCUGACACUACUUCCAUAUUUGCACUAAAGGAGAUUCAGCUACAAAAGGAGGCCAGCCUUCGGUCUUCGUCGAUGCCUGACUCAGUUGCCGGUGGACAGCAUGGCCGUGCCAGCCUCCCACACUGAGGCCAGGUCUACCCCCCAUCAUACCAGCCCCCAGGACCACUACCCCACGGCCAGCCAGGGGUCCAGAGCUAGCCCAGGCUGGGGAUCUCGACUCAGACAAGAUGGUGACAAUGCCUUGAGUCUGAGGCAUCCUCUGCCUGCUUUCCUGCCUGCCCCACCUGCCUCAUAUUGUGUGGGCCUUUUUUUGUUUGUUUCAUUCAUUGUUUUUUUUUUUUUAAUUAUUUUAAAUGAGAUUUUUGUUUUUUUUAAAUGCAAUAUCUCUGUAUACAGACUGGCUGGGCCCCACCCCCUGCGUGUGGCCCUCCCACAGUAUUUUGUGCAAUGAAGCCCUGCUCCCAGCCUUUCAGAGACAGGGACACAGCCCCUAUUUGGAACCCUGAUCAUCACCAGACCCUGGGAUUGGCUAUGGGA
rnacentral:lncRNA from 10 species